AGUGAACGCUGGCGGUAGGCCUAACACAUGCAAGUCGAACGGCAGCACAGUAAGAGCUUGCUCUUACGGGUGGCGAGUGGCGGACGGGUGAGGAAUACAUCGGAAUCUACUUUUUCGUGGGGGAUAACGUAGGGAAACUUACUCUAAUACCGCAUACGACCUACGGGUGAAAGCAGUGGAUCUUUGGACCUUGCGCGAUUGAAUGAGCCGAUGUGGGAGUUGCUAGUUGGCGGGGUAAAGGCCCACCAAGGCGACGAUCCGUAGCUGGUGUGAGAGGAUGGUCGGCCACACUGGAACGGAACCAGGGUCCAGACUCCUACGGGAGGGAGCAGUGGGGAAUAUUGGACAAUGGGCGCAAGCAUGAUCCAGCCAUACCGCGUGGGUGAAGAAGGCCUUCGGGUUGUAAAGCCCUUUUGUUGGGAAAGAAAAGCAGCAGGUUAAUACCCCGCUGUUCUGACGGUACCCAAAGAAUAAGCACCGGCUAACCUCGUG
rnacentral:rRNA from 1 species